CAGUCGCCGCGGUAAUACGAAGGGUGCAAGCGUUAAUCGGAAUUACUGGGCGUAAAGCGUGCGUAGGCGGUUUGUUAAGUCUGUUGUGAAAUCCCCGGGCUCAACCUGGGAAUGGCAAUGGAUACUGGCAAGCUAGAGUGUGUCAGAGGAUGGUGGAAUUCCCGGUGUAGCGGCGAAAUGCGUAGAGAUCGGGAGGAACAUCAGUGGCGAAGGCGGCCAUCUGGGACAACACUGACGCUGAGGCACGAAAGCGUGGGGAGCAAACAGGAUUAGAUACCCGAGUAGUCCCUGUCUCUUAUAC
rnacentral:rRNA from 1 species